AAAUUAAAAUGGAGGGAGUAAAAUCAUAUCUUCAAGUGAGAAUAUAUAUGUUUUGAGUUUUGACUACAAUCCAUGUCACUGUUCUUCAUUAGUUAAUACUAAGACAUUGCAUAAAAAAUACAUCUAAUAAGCUAAUGAUCUUGACCAGAGUCCCUAACAACAGACACCUCAGUCGCAAAAGCUUUCAACUAUAUAAGUUACUAAAAUAGAAACCUACAUAUUCCUAUUUAUUUAGACAACAAUAAUAAGCUUGACCAAAAAGCUAUGGGCAUUCUAAGUUUGUCUCUACCAAGAACCUUCAAUGAAUUUAUUUAUGCAGCCGGAGCAUAAUCAUAAUCUCCAUCAUCAUCUCCUUCUAAGGAUGCUGUAGGAGCAUAGUCAUAAUUUCCAUCAUCAUUACUCUCUCUAAACAUGCUGCAGGGGCAUAAUCAUAAUCACCAUCGCCAUCUCCAUCUGAACCCAACCUUCUCUUCUCGAACCCAAUAAUCUUGAAAAUUCCAGACAUUCUAUACCUUAGAGAAAGGUUGAAAUAUGAGCUAGAUAUUGGAUGUGUGUACUUGUACCUCUUUUAAUAAGAUGUGAAGAUAUAUGGUAUUUGUGUUGUGUAUGAU
rnacentral:lncRNA from 1 species